AGAACGAACGCUGGCGGCAUGCCUAACACAUGCAAGUCGAACGCUCUUGGGGCUUCGGUCUCAGGGGAGUGGCGCACGGGUGAGUAGCGCGUGGGAACCUGCCCUGUUGUGGGGGAUAACCGAGGGAAACUUCGGCUAAUACCGCAUAAGCCGGUUGUCUUGAAGGAGAUGGCCGGGAAAGAUUUAUCGCGACAGGAGGGGCCCGCGUCGGAUUAGCUAGUUGGUGGGGUAACGCCCACCAAGGCGGUGAUCCGUAGCUGGUCUGAGAGGAUGAUCAGCCACACUGGGACUGAGACACGGCCCAGACUCCUACGGGAGGCAGCAGUGGGGAAUUUUGCGCAAUGGGGGAAACCCUGACGCAGCAACGCCGCGUGGAGGAUGAAGUCCCUUGGGACGUAAACUCCUUUCGACCCGGACGAUAAUGACGGUACGGGUGGAAGAAGCCCGGCUAACUUCGCGCCAGCAGCCGC
rnacentral:rRNA from 1 species